rnacentral:rRNA from 1 species
UGGGGAAUAUUGGGCAAUGGGCGAAAGCCUGACCCAGCCAUGCCGCGUGAGUGACGAAGGCCUUAGGGUUGUAAAGCUCUUUUGGCGGGGACGAUAAUGACGGUACCCGCAGAAUAAGCACCGGCUCACUUCGUGCCAGCAGCCGCGGUAAUACGAAGGGGGCUAGCGUUGUUCGGAAUCACUGGGCGUAAAGCGCCCGUAGGCGGACUUUCAAGUCAGGUGUGAAAUCCCGGGGUUCAACCUCGGAACUGCCUUUGAUACUGUUGGUCUCGAGUCCGGAAGAGGUGGGUGGAAUUCCUAGUGUAGAGGUGAAAUUCGUAGAUAUUAGGAAGAACACCGGUGGCGAAGGCGGCCCACUGGUCCGGUACUGACGCUGAGGUGCGAAAGCGUGGGGAGCAAACA